rnacentral:rRNA from 1 species
UGCGUAGGCGGAUUGGCAAGUCAGAAGUGAAAUCCAUGGGCUUAACCCAUGAACUGCUUUUGAAACUGUUAGUCUUGAGUGAAGUAGAGGUAGGCGGAAUUCCCGGUGUAGCGGUGAAAUGCGUAGAGAUCGGGAGGAACACCAGUGGCGAAGGCGGCCUACUGGGCUUUAACUGACGCUGGGGCACGAAAGUGUGAGUAGCAAACA